rnacentral:rRNA from 1 species
AGGGCACCACCAGGAGUGGAGCCUGCGGCUUAAUUUGACUCAACACGGGAAAACUCACCCGGCCCGGACACUGGAAGGAUUGACAGAUUGAGAGCUCUUUCUUGAUUCAGUGGGUGGUGGUGCAUGGCCGUUCUUAGUUGGUGGAGUGAUUUGUCUGGUUAAUUCCGAUAACGAACGAGACUCUAGCCUACUAAAUAGAUAGUCGGCUUACAAACGUCGACUAGACUUCUUAGAGGGACAGGCGGUGAUUCAACCGCACGAAACAGAGCAAUAACAGGUCUGUGAUGCCCUUAGAUGUCCGGGGCCGCACGCGCGCUACACUGAAGUGAUCAGCGUGCUUUUUCAGCCUACUCUGUCAAGAGUGGGAAACCCAAUGAACCUUCUUCGUGAUUGGGAUAGGGGAUUGUAAUUAUUCCCCUUGAACGAGGAAUUCCCAGUAAAGCGCGAGUCAUAAGCUCGCGUUGAUUACGUCCCUGCCCUUUGUACACACCGCCCGUCGCUACUACCGACUGAAUGUUU